rnacentral:rRNA from 1 species
GAUCCUGGCUCAGGAUGAACGCUAGCGACAGGCUUAACACAUGCAAGUCGAGGGGCAGCACAGGUAGCAAUACCGGGUGGCGACCGGCGCACGGGUGAGUAACGCGUAUGCGGAACUUACCUAUCAGAGGGGGAUAACCCGGCGAAAGUCGGACUAAUACCGCAUGAAGCAGGGGUCCCGCAUGGGGAUAUUUGCUAAAGAUUCAUCGCUGAUAGAUAGGCAUGCGUUCCAUUAGG